GUCUAUGGCGAAGCGCUUGGCGUUCUCCAGGUUGCGGAAGAUCUCGUCGGGCGGGAGGGUGAUGCUCUUGUCCAGGCUGCCGUGACCGCUGCCGCGCCCGCCCCGCUCCGCCAUUUUGAACGCGACCCGCUCCCUCCCUCACCCCGGCCUCAUCGGCAUGCAAAUCUCGGAGUUGGGCUGGUGCCUCGGAAAUCCCUUCUCCAGUCAGUCCCAGCUGCUGUAAAUCCCCCCCGGGGUUCCCGAGCUGUAACACAGAAGGGAAGGUGAGGCAAGGUGGGCAGCGAGGCUCCCCCUCCCCAGCUCUCAGCCCGCAGAGGCGCUGCCCUUCCCGGCUCUCAGGUACUCACUCUGCGCUUCCCUCCGGCCCGUGGGAUGCCGUCCUGCUUUGGGGCAGAUGUCCAGGGAGAGAGCAGCGUCAUCCCAAGGGCUGCUCCCAGCUCCGAGUGGGGCAGGCAGCCGGGAUCUGCCCUAUUUAUACGCAGGAGCCGCAUUACAAAAGUCUGGGUCCGCAGCGAGCCGGAGUUUCCCACAGUCGCCAGCCAAUCCAUGCGUGCCCGGGACAAUGGGAAAGCAUCCAUUACAGCAUGGCAAAUUGACUGUGAAUCGCCUGGGGAUAAUACCCCGCUCCCAAAGGAGCAGGCUGUUUUAAGCUGCCAGCUCAGAUCUGCUGCCCCCUUCCAGCACAACCCCGUACAAACCCAGUCACGUUCAGGAUCUGCCAGUCAGAUAUGGGAGGCCUCACGCAGUUUUUGAAUAUCUGUUUCUUACAACUACAACACUGAUGGAAAACCUGCUUAUUUCUUGUGUCUGCCUUUCAAAAUCAGACAGGAAACCUCUGAUUUAAUAAUGAGCAUCCCUCCCCUGUGUCUGUGGAUACCUGGAGAGCAAAGUGUCCCAUCACAUAGAGAAUAAAAAGCUAUAAUUCUGCUAAA